rnacentral:rRNA from 1 species
AGGGCUUGACAUCUGACGAACCCGAAUGAAAGUUUGGGGUGCUCUUCGGAGAGCGUCAAGACAGGUGGUGCACGGUUGUCGUCAGCUCGUGUCGUGAGAUGUUGGGUUAAGUCCCGCAACGAGCGCAACCCUCGUCGUUAGUUGCAUAUAUUGGUAUACUGAUAUAUUGCUCUCUAGCGAGACUGCCGGUGAUAAACCGGAGGAAGGUGGGGACGACGUCAAAUCAUCAUGCCCCUUAUGCUCUGGGCUACACACGUGUUACAAUGGGUGGGACAGCGAGCCGCGAGCCUGCGAAGGUCAGCAAAUCUCUAAAAGCCAUCCUCAGUUCGGAUUGCACUCUGCAACUCGAGUGCAUGAAGUCGGAAUCGCUAGUAAACGCAGAUCAGCACGCUGCGUUGAAUACGUUCCCGGGUC